rnacentral:rRNA from 1 species
GUCUAUUGCCAUGCUGCACCGAACAAGCCCGAUUCCAUCUCAGAAGCUAAGCAGGGUCAGACCUGGUUAGUACUUGGAUGGGAGACCACCUAGGAAGACCAGGUGCUGUAGGUG